AAUGAGGGUCAGUAAGUUUGGAUAUUUUUUUAUAUUUGGUUCGAAAAUGUUCGGAAUUUUUUGAUGUUCGUACUCAUAUUGUACCAACACGAUUCAAAUAAUUUAAAUGAAAGUUACAAACAAAACAAAUCAAGAUAUUACAGAUAUUACAGAUACUGACCAUCUUGUGAUAAUCAAGUACUGUUUCACACUGGAGGUUACCGCACAAAACAAAUCAAGAUAUAACACAUACUGACCUUCUUGUGAUAAUAAAGUACUGUUUCACACUGGAGGUUACGAUUUCAUUUAAUAAAACACAGAAACAUUUACAUUUAAAUGAAUGCAGAGCUGUCAAGCUUCGCAUCGAGGGAACGAUUGGUUUUUAUAAUUAAAUAAUAAAAAAAAACUACCGGAAAUUAAAUCACAAUAAUUUGAAAUAAUGUUUAAAAUGUAUUAACAUUUUAUAACAAGUCUGGUUGUAUUAGAUAUAAACAUGACUCUGCCUUGUCAUUGGAUUUUUUCCCCUACCCUUAAUUCCAAAAUGGUGGAAGAUAAUGGCAGCUCUGCCUUCUUGUUAAGCCACUACGCUUGAGCAGACGGCCAUUUUCAAAGAUAGCGGCGUGGUUUAAACUUCAGGCCUUUUAAGAUCUACAUAGGGACCAAAUAGUGUCAAACAAUAUCGUUGUUGUCCACUCGCGAUUUUUUUAUAAAAGAAUUGCAGUCACGGGUAAACUCUGACGGUCGAUCGGAUGAAGAAGAGCGUGACAUCCUGGUAGGAAAGUCGAAAAGUCCGACAAAGAUGAGAUCAAUUUACAUACAGGAUGCAACGGUGGACAGAGUAAAAGUGGCUUUGUGGAGAAACACCAACAAAGACGUCAGAACUGGGGAUUACGUCAAAAUCACUGAUUUGACAAUACACACUUACCAAACAAAGUACACAACUGAAACCAGCUUCAAUUCUACCUACACAACUUCAGUUACUAAAGUCGAACAACCAACUGUACAUGUGACGGUUACAGUAAUAGGUGCCUGUGUACAAGAUGACGUUACAGAACUUCUCCUCAGUGAUGACUCUGUGAGGGCAAUACCUUCACAAUUAUUAAUGGCUGCCCUUCCACAAGAACUUGAUGAAGACUUGGAUCCAGAAUCUUUCUUUGCAGAGAGAAAAACAAACUUAAGGCUGCAAUUAAAAGGAUCAGAAGUACUUUCAGUGAUACUUCAGUAAACUGUUAUACAUAUACAUGACAUUAUUCAGCAUU